CACCCGCUCCAACCGCACAGGAACAGGUUUCCAAGCUUUACAUAAAGCACCUGUGAUGGCGAGUCUGAGUUUACAA
rfam:Fictibacillus enclensis strain NIO-1003 genomic scaffold Scaffold2, whole genome shotgun sequence.